rnacentral:rRNA from 1 species
CCUACGGGCGGCAGCAGUGGGGAAUAUUGGACAAUGGGGGGAACCCUGAUCCAGCCAUGCCGCGUGUGUGAAGAAGGCCCUCGGGUUGUAAAGCACUUUCAGUGAGGAAGAACGCCUGGUGGUUAAUACCCAUCAGGAAAGACAUCACUCACAGAAGAAGCACCGGCUAACUCCGUGCCAGCAGCCGCGGUAAUACGGAGGGUGCGAGCGUUAAUCGGAAUUACUGGGCGUAAAGCGCGCGUAGGUGGCUUGAUAAGCCGGUUGUGAAAGUCCCGGGCUCAACCUGGGAACGGCAUCCGGAACUGUCAAGCUAGAGUGCAGGAGAGGAAGGUAGAAUUCCCGGUGUAGCGGUGAAAUGCGUAGAGAUCGGGAGGAAUACCAGUGGCGAAGGCGGCCUUCUGGACUGGCACUGACACUGAGGUGCGAAAGCGUGGGUAGCAAACAGGAUUAGAUACCCUGGUAGUC